AGCAGCCGCCACGGUAAUACGAAGGGUGCAAGCGUUACUCGGAAUUACUGGGCGUAAAGCGUGCGUAGGCGGUGAGUUAAGUCUGCUGUGAAAUCCCCGGGCUCAACCUGGGAAUGGCAGUGGAUACUGGCUCGCUAGAGUGUGUCAGAGGAUGGUGGAAUUCCCGGUGUAGCGGUGAAAUGCGUAGAGAUCGGGAGGAACAUCAGUGGCGAAGGCGGCCAUCUGGGACAACACUGACGCUGAGGCACGAAAGCGUGGGGAGCAAACAGGAUUAGAUACCCCCGUAGUCCCUGUCUCUUAUAC
rnacentral:rRNA from 1 species